CGGCGGCGGCAAGGGCGCCGGAUCUGGUGCGGGUGCCGGAGGCGGUGGUGAGGGCGCCGAAUCAGCAGACGUUUGGUGCCGGAGGCGGUGGUGAGGGAGGCAGCGGAUCUGCAGGGUGGUGGUGGUAAAGGCAGCGUAGGGGCGGCGGAUCUGGUGUGGUGGUGGUAAAGGCCGCGAAUCGGAGCAGCGGAGAGGGCGGCGACUGGCGCGGCGGCGGAUCUGCAGGGUUAGUUAGGGAGGCGGCGGCCA
rnacentral:lncRNA from 1 species